rnacentral:lncRNA from 1 species
UUCUCUCCUCUCUCUAUUCUCUCUUCUCUCCAAAUCUUAACCCAAGCUUCUCUCUAAAUCAGCAAAUCAAGCACUGAGAAUCGCGUAUACACUGAGAAGGAAAAAGUAGAGCCAUCUUGUUCAAUUCGGAAUUGUGCCCUAGCUUCUCUCUUCUCUCCAAAUCGGAACCGCUUCUCUCCAAAUCGAAGCUAGGUAAACCCUUUCUUUUCUCCAAAUCGAAAGCCUUUCUUUUUCUCUUGAACAUUGAAUGCAUGCUUACUAAUGUAAUAUGAAACUUUUGGGUAAAUUGAGAAAAUGGGUAUGUAGAAAUAGAGAGAAUGGUGAAAGAAUAUUGGGUUUCUUUCUCUCACUGAGCUAAUAGCAGCUAUGGGACUAGUAGCAGUAGUUUUUUCAUUGAAUGUAUGCUUACCAAUGUUCAAAGAAACGAAAAUAUGAGUUAUUGAAAAACUUUGUUCUUGAAUUCUGACACUGGGAUUUGAGUAAUUGAAAAAUAUGAGUAAUUGAAAAAUAUGAGUAAAUGAAAAUAUUAAUUAAGCUGCACAACUUUGUUCUUGAAUUCUGACAAUGAGAUUUGAACAUUUUUUGUGAUUCCCUUUAGUUUCCUUUUUGUGGAGACAUGCUUAGUAAAAAUUAUUUGUUCCAGUUUGUGUUUCUAAUAACUUGUAAGAAAUGUAGGCGGGGAAAUUAUAGAAGUCCAAUGAGUUAUAGAAUAAGAAGCAAGGAUUCAGGUUUCGCACAAAUCCUAAAAAAUAGGAAUUUUGAAAAUUCGUAUAACUUUAUAUUCAUAAAUACAUCAAAACUUCAGAAUUAAUAAAUAUUAAUUAAUAAUGAUAGAAAUGUAAUAAAUCCAGAAGAAUCUAGAUUCCGGUAUUCUCCUGACCUACGGAAGAAUCCUUGCUUCUAAGGUUAUGGGUAGUUAUGUAUUUAUAUUUGAGUUGAAGGGUAUAUUUUUCCUAUAACUUGUCAGUAUGUGUGUGUAAGAUCAAUUUAGGAUAUCAUAUUUCUGUUCAAGAUACAUUAACUUUCAUUAUCAUUAUUAAUUGUGCUAAUGUGGACAAAUUGGAUUUUAGGAAAAUGUUGGUUGUUCAAAUUUUGUUGGUAACAGGCAACCAUGGUUAAUUGUUUAUCAAGUUCUAUGACAGCUACUCUUCAUUUUUAAUGAAGAUUUAUUAAUAAAUAAUUAUCUUUCUCGUGCAAAAAUAAAAUUGCGUCUGCGUCUUCAUUAUUAAUUUAUAUGAUAUUUACGUCACUUUAUUAAUUUAGACAUUUCAAAGCUUAAAUUUUUCCAUUUAAGCAUUUUUCCAUUUUUUUGAACUAGUUUGAUUCUCAUCUACCCUUGGUAUCUAUGUAUCUUAUGUUAAAUUCUUGGAUUUUUCUCAUUUUUGUUAUUGAAAUUGAUUUGAUUUGAUAGUUAUGGUUUUAGUCAUAUUAAAACUUAUUUGAUUCAUAUAUUUUGAUAUUUAUUCCUGCAGUAUAUAGAGAAUGUAAUACUAUGUUUGGUACACCAUAAAGUAAAAAGUGAAGAAUGAUGAAAUUGAAGAAUGAAAGAGUGAAGAUAAAAGUGGUGUAUUCGGUUUUUCUUUUUUCUUUAAUGUUGUGGUUUUUUUUGUUUGUAAUGUAG